CGCGGCCUAUCAGCUUGUUGGUGGGGUGAUGGCCUACCAAGGCGUUGACGGGUAGCCGGCCUGAGAGGGCGGUCGGUCACAUUGGGACUGAGAUACGGCCCAGACUCCUACGGGAGGCAGCAGUGGGGAAUUUUGCACAAUGGGCGCAAGCCUGAUGCAGCGACGCCGCGUGAGGGAUGACGGCUUUCGGGUUGUAAACCUCUUUUAUCCACCACGAAGGCUCCGUAUUCGCGGGGUUGACGGUAGUGGUUGAAUAAGCGCCGGCUAACUACGUGCCAGCAGCCGCGGUAAGACGUAGGGCGCGAGCGUUGUCCGGAUUUAUUGGGCGUAAAGGGCUCGUAGGCGGCCCGCUGCGUCUGCCGUGAAAGGCCUCGGCUUAACCGGGGUUUUGCGGUGGAUACGGGCGGGCUUGAGGCAAGUAGGGGAAACUGGAAUUCUACGUGUAGCGGUGAAAUGCGCAGAUAUGUGGAGGAACACCGGUGGCGAAGGCGGGUUUCUGGGCUUGUUCUGACGCUGAGGAGCGAAAGCAUGGGGAGCGAACAGGAUUAGAUACCCUGGUAGUCCAUGCCGUAAACGUUGGGCACUAGGUGUGGGGCUCAUUCCACGAGUUCCGUGCCGCAGCUAACGCAUUAAGUGCCCCGCCUGGGGAGUACGG
rnacentral:rRNA from 1 species